CUACGGGUGGCUCCAGUGAGGAAUAUUGCACAAUGGGGGGAACCCUGAUGCAGCAACGCCGCAUGGAGGAUGACGCAUUUCGGUGUGUAAACUCCUUUUAUAUGUCAAGAAAAUGACGGUAGCAUAUGAAUAAGCACCGGCUAACUCCGUGCCAGCAGCCGCGGUAAUACGGAGGGUGCAAGCGUUACUCGGAAUCACUGGGCGUAAAGGACGCGUAGGCGGGUUGGAAAGUCAGGUGUGAAAUCCUACAGCUUAACUGUAGAACUGCACUUGAAACUUCUAAUCUAGAGUAUGGGAGGGGGUGAUGGAAUUAGUGGUGUAGGGGUAAAAUCCGUAGAUAUCACUAGGAAUACCUAAAGCGAAGGCGAUCUCCUGGAACAUUACUGACGCUAAGGCGUGAAAGCGUGGGGAGCAAACAGGAUUAGAUACCCUAGUAGUC
rnacentral:rRNA from 1 species